GAGAGAGAGAGAGAGAGAGAGAGAGAGAGACGAGGGAAAUAAGAAUAAAAAAGGGGAAGGGAAUAGCUAGGGAGUGAUUCUUCUUGGCUUGGAUUGAAGUCUAAACUUGUUAGCAGGUGGCUUAGAGUGGGUCUACUACCGGUCAACGUGUCGAGGUGUAUUCGAGCGUUAGCUUUAGGAGAUGUUGAUGGUCAAGCUUGUUGUAGGUAGUUAAUAAAGGAAUUGAAUUAUAUAAGUUGUAAUUAAGUUAUUCGUGGAUAUGUUGAAGGAUAGAACUUAUUAAGUAUUGUAAUAAAGGUUGCGGUUACUUA